rnacentral:rRNA from 1 species
AGUCUACGGGAGGCAGCAGUGGGGAAUAUUGGACAAUGGGGGGAACCCUGAUCCAGCAAUGCCGCGUGUGUGAAGAAGGCCUUCGGGUUGUAAAGCACUUUCAGCAGGGAGGAAAGCAUCAUGGUUAAUACCCAUGGUAGUGACGUUACCUGUAGAAGAAGCACCGGCUAACUCCGUGCCAGCAGCCGCGGUAAUGACU